rnacentral:rRNA from 1 species
GACGAACGCUGGCGGCGUGCCUAAUACAUGCAAGUAGAACGCACAGUUUAUACCGUGGCUUGCUACACCAUAAACUGUGAGUUGCGAACGGGGGAGUAACGCGUAGGUAACCUGCCUGGUAGCGGGGGAUAACUAUUGGUAACGAUAGCUAAUACCGCAUAAUAUUUAUUAUUGCAUGAUAAUUGAUUGAAAGAUGCUAUUGCAUCACUACCAGAUGGACCUGCGUUGUAUUAGCUAGUAGGUGAGGUAACGGCUCACCUAGGCGACGAUACAUAGCCGACCUGAGAGGGUGAUCGGCCACACUGGGACUGAGACACGGCCAAGACUCCUACGGGAGGCAGCAGUAGGGAAUCUUCGGCAAUGGACGAAAGUCUGACCGAGCAACGCCGCGUGAGUGAAGAAGGUGUUCGGAUCGUAAAGCUCUGUUGUGAGAGAAGAACGGGUGUGAGAGUGGAAAGUUCACACUGUGACGGUAUUGUACCAGAAGGGACGGCUAACUACGUG